AGAGAAGUGGCCUCAGAACAUGGAAGCGGGGCGCUGAUUAACCAGGUGCCUCAGCUUCCUGACUACAUAGGACACAGACGUGAGGGCCAACAAAGCUAAGGGAGACUUUGGACACACUGACCUCUAGCUAACACACCCCACAGCCGCCCACGCCUGUCCUCCACACCAACUGUGACACAGGAGGACAGUCAAGAGGACAAGGAACAUCCUCUCCUCCCAAACCUUGAUUCCUAGUGAGGACACAGAAACCUCAAGUUCCAGUCUUGACUGGUAGUGAGCAGACAGCCCAGGAUCGUCUAGUGUUCCCAUUGAAGACUGGGCAGAGGAGAUCGGAGACAGGAGACAUGGCAAGCCACAGCGGAGGGCAGAGACGGGCUGAGCACUUGCCCUUUGCCCCCGUCUCCAUGGUCAUCUAGUCAACACAUUCUGGCCCUUCAUAUCUCAUCUACAAUAGAACUACCAGAUACAUCUCUGCUGCAACUGGAGACCUGGCCCCGUUCAAGGAGGAUCUGGGGUCUCCAGAAGAGCCCACCCAGUGAGGCUACAAAUUGCUAUCAAUGUUUAUGGGAUAAUGGAGAGGCAGACCAGGAAAAAAAACUCAAAAUGUCGUUAAUGAACUUGAAAAAGGAGGAGGGUGAGGACAAAGAUAAGACCAGAAUCUGUCAAGCUUCUGCUUGCCCCCUCCCUCCCGGCUCUUAACAGCCAGUGGAAAAGGCUCCUUCUGGCUGCUGAAUUGCAACUGAGCCUAUGUAACAAAGAGGUGCUUCCCAGGAUGCCAGGAAAUUGCAGGAAAAAUGGUCUCUCCACCUUUGGAAAGAGUUCAUCUGGCCCUGCUGCUGCCUUCCUUCUAGAGGCCAAGCUCUUGUUAGAGACACUGCAAUUUAUUCCCUUGCUGAGGACUAUGAUGCAGGAAAUGGAGAAGGAGAAGGACUCUGAGCAUUUGGUUGGCUGCUGGGACAGGUGAGCUUCUGAGAUGGUGAUCUCAUUUGUCUUGCAAAUACCACGCACACACUACCCAGAAGAGGGGCUGGGAGACAAGCCACCAAGCCUCGGUGACUGCAGAUGGAAUUGUUUCUAAACAGAAUGUUUUUCAAAGCUUCUCUUGAAGCAUUAGCUGUGCCUGCAAAAUGAAUGACACAAUGUAUUUCGUACAAGUAAUAAAAUAUGUGAUUUGAAUAACUACAAAUGAAAA
rnacentral:lncRNA from 1 species